ACAGACCACCCGUAUGGAGACAAGUUAUCAGGGAUCCUCAGGACUUUAAUUCUACUCUGGUCCAAAUAAAACUGAGAAACACAACCUUUUGCAUCAUAUACCUUUUCCUCCGAAGAAGACUCACAUGCAAGGGUCGAAACGCGUCAGGAACAUUUUGACUUAAAGAUCAGCCAAUCAUGUUGAUCAAUGUCAUGCAACUUUGAUGCUUUAUCAUCAUAUGUAUGUGUUCUCAAUGUUUAAACUGUACCAGAGCUCAUUGUUUUAUAAUCAAACUUGUUCUACUUGCUAAAAUAAAUAUCUUUUCUACCUUUUUUACAAA